CCCUUAGAUGUUCUGGGCCGCACGCGUGCUACACUGAUGCAUUCAACGAGUCUAAAACCUGGUCUGAUAGGGCUGGGUAAUCUUUUGAAAGUGCAUCGUGAUUGGGAUAGAUGAUUGCAAUUCUUCAUCUUCAACGAGGAAUGCCUAGUAAACGCAAGUCAUCAGCUUGCAUUGAUUACGUCCCUGCCCUUUGUACACACCGCCCGUCGCUCCUACCGAUUGAAUGAUCCGAUGAAUACCAUGGAUUGAGAGUACGAAUAGGUUCGCUUAUUUCUGCUACUCGAGAAGUGGAGUAAAUCUUAUCAUUUAGAGGAAGGAGAAGUCGUAACA
rnacentral:rRNA from 1 species